GCAAUAGUCACCAGAUUCAGGGUUAGAUGUUGGGGCGAGGUUUAGGAGAAAGCAGCACAGUGUUCUGACCGGACCGUCUGCCACCAUUUCUCUGUCCAGAUGUCUCCACACUCCUUGACCUGUGUCACAUCCUCCCGCUGGGAUCGCCCAUAUUCCAGAGAGGUGGCAGCAUUUCCUCUGCCCUUUGUGAAACCAGAGAACAAAUUCUGGCCAACCAUUGCUCGGAUCGACGACAUCUACGGAGAUCAGCACCUCGUCUGCACCUGCCCACCCAUGGAGGUCUACGAGUCUCCGUUUUCUGAACAGAAAAGGGCCUCUUCUUAGUCCUUCCUCCCCAGGUUCAAAGGACUGACUGGACGUCUCCUGCUGCAGCAUUUGACAAGCAAGGACAUUUCUUCUCCUUCAUGUGGCUCACAUGAGUUUUAUACGCUGUCUAUUUUUAUAAUCUUUCAAGGUAAUGUAAACACGGUUGGCAUGGUGAGUGGCGGCUGCCUGCAGUACGGCGAGGCGGCCG
rnacentral:lncRNA from 1 species